rnacentral:rRNA from 1 species
UCCUGUGAAAUCGUCGAGCUGAACUCGACGGCGGGCAGGGAACACUGCUUGGCUUGAGACCAGGAGAGGUAGGAAGUAUUCCUUGGGGAGCGGUAAAAUGCUAUAAUCCAAGGAGGACUACCGAUGGCGAAGGCAUUCUACCAGAAUGGAUCUGACGGUGAGGGAUGAAAGCUAGGGGAGCGAUCCGGAUUAGAUACCCGAGUAGUCCUAGCUGCAAACGCUGCGUGCCAGAUGUUGCACAAUCCACGAGAUUGCGCAGUGUCGAAACGAAGGUGUUAAGCACGCCACCUGGGAAGUACGGCCGCAAGACUGAAACUUAAAGGAAUUGGCGGGGGCACACUACAAGGGGUGCGGCGUGCGGUUUAAUCGAAUUCAACGCCGAGAAUCUCACCGGGAGCGACGGCAGAAUGAAGGUCAGUCUGAAGGGCUUACCAGACAAGCCGAGAGGUGGUGCAUGGCCGUCGUAAGCUCGUGCCGCGAGGUGUCCUCUUAAGUGAGGCAACGAGCGAGACCUGUAUCCAUAUUUGCUAACGUGCCAGCAAUGGUGAGCGAGCACAAUAUGGAGACUGCUGUGGAAACGCAGAGGAAGGCGCAGGCAACGGCAGGUCGUAUGCCCCGAAUCUCCCGGGCUACACGCGCGCAACAAUGAUAGGUACAAUGGGAUGCAACUCUGAAAAGAGAAGCCAAUCCUCCAAAACCUAUCCUAGUUCAGAUUGAGGAUUGUAACUCAUCCUCAUGACGUCUGAAUC